CCCUAGCCCUGAUGGAAGCGGUAUCCUUAUCUAGUCCAGAACUUGUUUCAGGAUCUUGAAACAAGUUCUGGACUAGAUAAAAUAUAGCAAACAGCAGGAAAAAGC
rnacentral:sRNA from 1 species